rnacentral:rRNA from 1 species
AUUGAACGCUGGCGGCAUGCCUUACACAUGCAAGUCGAACGGCAGCGGGGACUUCGGUCCGCCGGCGAGUGGCGAACGGGUGAGUAAUGUAUCGGAACGUACCUUUCAGUGGGGGAUAACGUAGCGAAAGUUACGCUAAUACCGCAUAUUCUCUGAGGAGGAAAGCAGGGGACCUUCGGGCCUUGUGCUGAUGGAGCGGCCGAUAUCAGAUUAGCUAGUUGGUGGGGUAAAGGCUCACCAAGGCGGCGAUCUGUAGCGGGUCUGAGAGGAUUAUCCGCCACACUGGGACUGAGACACGGCCCAGACUCCUACGGGAGGCAGCAGUGGGGAAUUUUGGACAAUGGGCGCAAGCCUGAUCCAGCCAUGCCGCGUGAGUGAAGAAGGCCUUCGGGUUGUAAGGCUCUUUCGGACGGGAAGAAAUUGGUGGGGCUAAUAUCCCCAUCGGAUGACGGUACCGUAAUAAGAAGCACCGGCUAACUACGUGCCAGCAGCCGCCGUAAAAC